UUUUAUUACUGCAGCAGUGAGACUUCCGGAAGCUUUCUCUGUUGGUUCCAAGUUCCGGCCUCUGCCUUGUAUUGUGAAAAAGAAGAAAUCGGUAGAAGGAGGGUCAGAUUGGAGGGGGUUCUCUGGCCUCUGCUGCAGCCACCGCCCCACAUUCAUCCUAACAACCUUGGGCAGAAAACCAGAAAAAUACAAUUACCAGAAAAGGUAGAAACCAUCUCAGACACAGGGGGAAGAUAGAAUCUCCUAGAGCUCCAUGAGGCGUGAGAACCUUGCUUCUGGGGCAGCAUUGCUGAGGCGGGGCAAUGACCAGACGUUGGACCUUCAUGGAGCGACUCGGUCAAAGGUUGAACCUUUUGAGAGGAGCUUGAACUGAUAAUUCUGACUGGCUGAAAAGCACUGCCCUAAGGCAUUUCUGGAGUUAAUGGACUGCGUAUUCCCCAUUUUCCAGCAACAAUAUGGCAUGUGUGGAGUUAAUGGAAUGCUAAUUGCCCUUUUUCCAAGGAUCGUACCGGCAUGUGUGGAGUUAAUGGAA